UACACAACACAUAACACUAUAACACUAUUCUAUUCCACCCAACAACCCAUUUCUAACAUAUAAAUUAUCCAAACUCCUACAAAGCAUAAAGACACGAAAUGUCCGCUAUCGAUCGAGUGAAAUAAGGGCGCUUGUAUAUGCAUUGUCAGUUUUGAAUGCUGGCAACACGUUACUCAAGUGUUUCAACAGAGGUAAACUUCCACGAGCGGGGCGUGGACUCGACAUCACACAGCGAGCGACAGUCACUCACAGUCUCACUCGCUCAGUGCUGAUGGCAAUCAACUGGUUGCUGCAGGUUUUCCGCACUGAAGGAUGGGUUGGUAUUCCGAUUCCCAAGGUUGCUGACCAAAUCACAUUUUUACCUGACUUUAAUUCUAACAUAUUUAUUUAUUAUCAGGUAUCCUUUCAUAAUUCAAAUUAAUUUAGUCAAUCUUAGACCGUCCUCAACUCUCAGCUUUGCUGUUUAAAGACAAAUGUAAUUUAUCCACCAGUUCAAAGCCCAAAAUUGCUCAUUCUAGCCGACUCUAAUAUUAGCUGACAUUGUGACACUGAACAUAACUAGAAACACUGCUUUUACGAUAGGUCUGAAAAGCUUUAAGCACUAACUGUGCCGUAUCUAUAAAACCUCUGACACAUCAUAUCUUUAAUUACAGUAAAAGAAACAACCAUAUUAUUAUUUCUUGCAGAUUCUUAAAUGUCUUCUAGAACUGCUGCCUUUCCAAUGUUGCAUAACUUAUCGGCUGCACCGCAAGAAGCCAAAUUUCUACAUUUAAAGUACAAAAAUAGUUUCAUAUGUUUGCUGUGGAUCAGCCGGGAAACUGGGACGGAUUUUGUUUCACUGAGAUGUGUUUACAGCCUCAUGUCAAUCCAAUUUACAAAAAGGAAAUUUACACACAAGAACCCAAUAUUUUCAAUAUGACAGCAUUUGCAGACCAGUUAAAAGU